rnacentral:rRNA from 1 species
AUUGAACGCUGGCGGCAUGCCUUACACAUGCAAGUCGAACGGCAGCACGGGUGCUUGCACCUGGUGGCGAGUGGCGAACGGGUGAGUAAUACAUCGGAACGUACCUUAUCGUGGGGGAUAACGCAGCGAAAGCUGUGCUAAUACCGCAUACGCCCUGAGGGGGAAAGCGGGGGAUCGCAAGACCUCGCGCGAUUAGAGCGGCCGAUGCCUGAUUAGGUUGUUGGUGGGGUAAAAACCCACCAAGGCGACGAUCAGUAGCUGGUCUGAGAGGACGAUCAGCCACACUGGGACUGAGACACGGCCCAGACUCCUACGGGAGGCAGCAGUGGGGAAUUUUGGACAAUGGGGGCAACCCUGAUCCAGCAAUGCCGCGUGAGUGAAGAAGGCCUUCGGGUUGUAAAGCUCUUUUGUCAGGGAAGAAACACCGGCUCUAACACAGUCCGGGAAUGACGGUACCUGAAGAGUAAGCACCGGCUAACUACGUGCCAGCAGCCGCAGUAA